UAGGGAAUCUUCGGCAAUGGACGGAAGUCUGACCGAGCAACGCCGCGUGAGUGAAGAAGGUUUUCGGAUCGUAAAGCUCUGUUGUAAGAGAAGAACGAGUGUGAGAGUGGAAAGUUCACACUGUGACGGUAUCUUACCAGAAAGGGACGGCUAACUACGUGCCAGCAACCGCGGUAAUACGUAGGUCCCGAGCGUUGUCCGGAUUUAUUGGGCGUAAAGCGAGCGCAGGCGGUUAGAUAAGUCUGAAGUUAAAGGCUGUGGCUUAACCAUAGUACGCUUUGGAAACUGUUUAACUUGAGUGCAAGAGGGGAGAGUGGAAUUCCAUGUGUAGCGGUGAAAUGCGUAGAUAUAUGGAGGAACACCGGUGGCGAAAGCGGCUCUCUGGCUUGUAACUGACGCUGAGGCUCGAAAGCGUGGGGAGCAAACAGGAUUAGAUACCCUGGUAGUCCACGCCGUAACGAUGAGUGCUAGGUGUUAGACCCUUUCCGGGGUUUAGUACCGCAGCUAACGCAUUAAGCACUCCGCCUGGGGAGUACGACCGCAAGGUU
rnacentral:rRNA from 1 species